rnacentral:lncRNA from 1 species
AUGGGAGGCCCGUCUCCAUGGCGCCCGUCGGCACCGCCCCCCUCGCGGCGCUGGCGGCCGCAACAUGGCAGCGGCGCCUCCCGGCGGCGGCUCCGCGCUCUGAGCGCUCCGGGGCCGGGCCGAGGCGGGGCAGCGGCGGCGGCCGUGAGGGGCCNNNNNNNNNNNNNNNNNNNNGAGGGGCCCCGCGGGCCUGGGAGCCGCCGCCAGCACCGCGACGGCCCCGCCGCUGCCGGCCGUGGCUGUGAGGGGAGCCCGGCGGCGGCGGCCGCCCCGCUUUUGUCCGCCGGGAGCGGGGCCUGGGGGGGGCGCGAGGCGACCCCGGCCCCCUCAGUCCGUCCGUCCGUCCGUCAGCGCCUCUCCGUCUGUCCGGCCGUGCCCAGCUGCCGCCAGGGGAGUGCGCCGGCAUUUCGCGCCUCGCAGCGUCGGCCGUGCGCAUCCUGCUGCCGGAGCCCCAGUCCCCGGGGAGCCUCCUCGUGCUGGUCCCAGAGCCCCUGCAAGACUCCUCUCCAGGUCCCUCUGAUAAGGAGAAGGCAGCGAGAGGAACGAAAGGUGUUAGUGGGACUUCAUGGAGGGAAACUCAGAGCCUCUGCCUUCAAGGUACCUCUCUGCAAGUAGUACUGUCGAACUCUCCGGAGCUGCUGUGUUCACCUAGAAGCUGUUAGAGCUGUGGGAAAUGAGAGGACUUGCCAGGGUGAGUACAAAUGCUGUGUCAGACCUUGUUUUUAAAAGUUAUUAUUUUUUUUUAAAGUUACUGAUGUAUUUUCAAGGAAAGAAAAAAACAAACUCUAAUUCUGGGAGAGCAACUUCUGUGCUGUGCCAGCUCUUAGAUUUCGCUGGUUUAAGUGCGUACUGUUUUUUUUUUUUUUCUUCUUGUCUCUAUGCCUCCUUAGAUAUUCAGAUCUGAGUCUUGCUUGCUUAAAAUCUGUCACACGGCCCCAGCAGCUGUAUAAAAACCCUGACUUGGAAAACCCCAGGUGUGAUAAAGCCUCAAGGCUUUGAAGCUUGAAGCCCAGCAGUGCUGCAUUCCUGCCGGUGGAGCUCCCUGUGGGGAGGGGGUCUCACCCCCCGGGCGAGAGGAUGCUCCUCUCUGGUCCCCAGUGCGUGCACCUCCGAGACCCUUAUUGCCACCGGUGGGUGCGCUGCAGUGUGCGUGUGCCCUGCGUCCCUGCCUUCACGUGCCCUUUGUGUUGAACUGGGAGCAUACCCAGGGGCGUCGUGCCGCCUUGGAAAGGCUGCAUGUGACAGGUGACUUGUGGGCCCUGCUUCGCUUUUUCUCCGCUCCCUUCGCAGCUCUGAUCGGCAGGCAGUGGUCGCGGCUGCUCCCCCAGCCCCGUGCAGCAGUGAGCCCGUGCCGGUUGC